UUUCAGUUGGUUUUGGCAGCGCGAGGACUAGGGUAAUGAUUAAUAGGGAUAGUUGGGGGCAUUAAUAUUUAAUUGUCAGAGGUGAAAUUCUUGGAUUUAUGAAAGAUUAACUUCUGCGAAAGCAUCUGCCAAGGAUGUUUUCAUUAAUCAAGAACGAAAGUUAGGGGAUCGAAGACGAUCAGAUACCGUCGUAGUCUUAACCAUAAACGAUGCCGACCAGCGAUUAGGAGACGUUGAAUACAAAACACCACCAUCGGUGCGGUCGUCCUUGGCGUCGGUCUUUCGGGGCCGG
rnacentral:rRNA from 1 species